GCUGGGAUAGCUCAGUUGGUAGACCAUGAGACGCUAACUCUCAGGGUCUUGGGUUCCCACUUUGGGCA